rnacentral:rRNA from 1 species
AACGAACGCUGGCGGCAGGCUUAACACAUGCAAGUCGAACGCCCCGCAAGGGGAGUGGCAGACGGGUGAGUAACGCGUGGGAAUCUACCCAGUUCUACGGAACAACUGAGGGAAACUUCAGCUAAUACCGUAUACGCCCUACGGGGGAAAGAUUUAUCGGAAUUGGAUGAGCCCGCGUUGGAUUAGCUAGUUGGUGAGGUAACGGCUCACCAAGGCGACGAUCCAUAGCUGGUCUGAGAGGAUGAUCAGCCACACUGGGACUGAGACACGGCCCAGACUCCUACGGGAGGCAGCAGUGGGGAAUAUUGGACAAUGGGCGCAAGCCUGAUCCAGCCAUGCCGCGUGAGUGAUGAAGGCCUUAGGGUUGUAAAGCUCUUUCAGUGGGGACGAUAAUGACGGUACCCACAGAAGAAGCCCCGGCUAACUUCGUGCCAGCAGCCGCCGUAA